CUUCCUCAUUUUCUGUCAUCUUUCAGUCUCUCCUGUCGUUCCCUUGUGUUUCUAAGGCUGAUUGGUUAAGAAAGUCAGGGAGGGGCGGGGCCUCCUCUGG